rnacentral:rRNA from 1 species
UGGGGAAUUUUGGACAAUGGGCGAAAGCCUGAUCCAGCAAUGCCGCGUGUGUGAAGAAGGCCUUCGGGUUGUAAAGCACUUUUGUCCGGAAAGAAAUCCUUGUCUCUAAUACAGUCGGGGGAUGACGGUACCGGAAGAAUAAGCACCGGCUAACUACGUGCCAGCAGCCGCGGUAAUACGUAGGGUGCAAGCGUUAAUCGGAAUUACUGGGCGUAAAGCGUGCGCAGGCGGUUUGCUAAGACCGAUGUGAAAUCCCCGGGCUCAACCUGGGAACUGCAUUGGUGACUGGCAGGCUAGAGUAUGGCAGAGGGGGGUAGAAUUCCACGUGUAGCAGUGAAAUGCGUAGAGAUGUGGAGGAAUACCGAUGGCGAAGGCAGCCCCCUGGGCCAAUACUGACGCUCAUGCACGAAAGCGUGGGGAGCAAAACAGGAUUAGAUACCCUGGUAGUCCACGCCCUAAACGAUGUCAACUAGUUGUUGGGGAUUCAUUUCCUUAGUAACGUAGCUAACGCGUGAAGUUGACCGCCUGGGGAGUACGGUCGCAAGAUUAAAACUCAAAUGAAUUGACGGGGUCAUAGCUGUUUCCU